CGUUUGCUUUUCACCUGGGCCCGGACUAAACAUCGGCAGUUGGUUUGGCUUCUCUAAACUCGGCCAGGCGAAAUCGAAAUCAACUCUUGACAUUGCCAUCUCCGUCUCUCUCGUCAAUAGGGACAGCUUGUUUGGUCCAUCAGAUCUGUUUGGUUACCAGGAAAUUUUUCCAAAAAAAAGAUACUGGACUAGAAAUUAGCUUCAGGCUGGAUCUUUUAGUUCAAACGGCGCACCCAGAAAUAACUUCAGAGAAAGAAAGUUGAAGUGGAGAUGAGAUGGAUGAUAGUUGUGUUGUUUGUGCGGAGACACUUGAAUGGGUUGCAUAUGGACAGUGUGGCCACCGAGAGGUCUGCUCAACCUGUGUCAUUCGACUCCGUUUCGUCUGUGAAGAUCGAUGCUGCUGCCUGUGCAAGAGCAACUGCGGAGUCAUUUUUGUCACCAAGGCUUUGGGUGAUUAUACAAGGGUGAUAAAUGACUUUACAAAUUUUCCAGCUGAUCCAACAGAGGGUCAAGUUGGGACAUAUUGGUAUCAUGAAGGAACGCAAGCAUAUUUUGAUGAUUUUGAUCAUUACAAGAUGAUAAAGGCCAUGUGCCGGCUGUCAUGUAGUGUGUGUGAUAAAAUAAAUGAGCAAAGGAUUGAAGGGUCGAAGAGGACAGGGGAAUUUCAAAAUGUUGAACAGCUGAAAAGUCACUUAUUUCAUCGACACAAACUGUCCAUGUGCACUUUGUGUUUGGAAAGUAGGAAGGUUUUCAUAUGUGAGCAAAAGUUGUAUACUAAAGCACAACUAAAUCAACAUACAAGGAGUGGCGACUCCGAGGUUGAUGGCAGUGAAACUGAAAGAGGUGGAUUUAUGGGACACCCUAUUUGUGAAUUUUGCCAAAAUCCUUUUUAUGGAGAAAAUGAACUUUACUCCCAUAAGUCAACCGAACAUUAUACAUGCCAUAUAUGCCAAAGGCAACAUCCAGGAAAGUACGAAUACUACAAAAACUACGAUGACUUGGAGAUCCAUUUUCGUCAAGCACAUUUCUUGUGCGAGGACAAUGCUUGCCUAGCAAAAAAAUUUAUUGUUUAUGCAAGUGAUUCCGAAAUAAAGAGGCAUAAUGCUAAGGAACAUGGAGGGCGAAUGUCUCGCCGUCAGCGCUUUGCUGCCCUCCAGAUUCCAGUGAGCUUUCAGUAUUACCGAAGUAAUGAGCAAGAUCGUCAGGGCAGACGUGGUCUUCCUUCAAACUUGGUUAAUCUUGAGACUUCCAAUGUUGCAAGUGUUCUUGUCACUUCAUCCACUGCUGGAGCAGUUUCCAGUCUGAGAGAAACAAGUGAAUUGGAGUCAGUUGUCGGCCCUUUUGAAUUAUUAAGCACGGUUGAUUGUGAGUCAUCUUCCUCUCAUGCUUCAAGACAGAGCUUCAGGACUGCACCACUGGAAGAUUCAUCCUUUCCACCACUCCCUGUGGCUCCAAGCAGAGGUCAAAAGAAAAGCAGAAAAUUGCCUCCCUCCAAUGCACGUCCUCAAGCUUGGUUGACAGCAAAUUUUUGCCCUCCACCUGGGCUUCCUAGUUCUACCUGGCUAAGGCCAGUCUCAAGUUCUGGGCUUCUGUCAACAUCUAGAUCUCCUAAUAUAAUCCAAAGUGGGUCUACAACAACAAAUUUACGUUCAUCACCAUCUUAUGAAAGCACCAUCCCAGUUAGACGGAUAAAAUCGCAUGAAGUUGCCCCCUCUAGCAUUGCUAGCUCGUCAAGAAAUUCAAUUAGCUCCAGUGUGGUCACCCAUUCUGCUUCAGCACAGAGCCUUGUAGGCAGAGGGUCUUUUGACAACUCUACUUCUAGUUUUCCACCUAUUAAUGUAGCUCAAACUGGUAAAACACCUACAAGUAGCCAGACAUUACUGAAGGGGGGUGAUGUUAAUUCUGCCAACAAGUCUCUUGUGGAAAGAAUUCGCAUUGCUUUAGACCAUGAUGAAAAAAACUACGCUGCAUUUAAAGAACUAUCAUCACAGUUUCGGCGGGGUUUAAUAAGUACAGAAGAAUAUCUUGCCUUUGUUUGCCAGUUUGGCUUGUCGCCUCUUGUUCUUGAAUUAGCUAGACUCUGUCCGGAUCUGGAGAAGCAAAGAGAGCUAGUUGAGACGUACAAUUUGAACACAAGGAGUUGUGGUUCUUCCGAAAAUAGUUUAGGCAAUGAAUGUGGCCGGUCAAAGAACAGGAAAAGUACCAAAAAAGGUAAAGAGAAAUGUGAAGAGAGUGCAAUCAGUACUUCAAAGGAUGCUUUAGCAGAUAAUAUUAUAAGCAGUAUGAAUAAAUUGGAAUCAAAUUAUAAGAGCCUUGUAGUCCGUGUGGAUGUCUUAUCAAACAAUGGUCACCAAUCGGCCAAGGAAAAAUCAAAGAUUCCUAUUGCUGAUGAGUUUCAAAAGAAUGGCCACCAUGGUGAGAACGAAUUUAUUCAUUUAAAGAAAAGUGCAGGGACCGGUAAUGGAGGCAAGCAACAGAAAAAGACUCCAAAGUUCCUCAGAAACCGACUUGGCAGUGAUGCUGCAGCCAAUUUUAUACUUGGUAGUUCCAGUACCGAAGAAAAAAUAGAUGACCUUAAGGAUCCACCUGAAGGAUUGCCGGUUAGAGGAGUUUGGCAAAAUGGGGGUGGCUGGAAACUUGUUGCAAGUACCCAGAGAGAUCGAAGAAAACAUUAAGUGCGAAUGUCACUAUUGAAGCUUUUCUUUAUUUUGUGAAUACCAUACAAUCUGUGGUAAUGCAUUGCUUAGGUUGAAGGUUGUCAUGUGACCUAUAUCUUAGUAUGCAAUGUUAUGAUACUUCAUUAGUUAGUUUGUGUUUUGGCAUCAUUCUGUUUAUCCUCCCUUGUAGUAGAAGCAGCCUUUGUAAUCUCUCCACAUCUGAUAACUCUAUGAUUUAGAAUUAUUUUUAUUAACUUUGAACUUGAAUUUUGGGUGAAAAGUGUAAUGAGUGUGAUGUUAUUUGAAAGGAAGCUUACAAUAUAUGUGAAAGGGAACUGCGGGAAGCAAAGGGAAAAACAAAUUCUGAAAGCUGCGUGUUGCUACUUCAAUAUUGUAGCAUCACCACACAGCAAUUCAAGGGAUCAGGCAGGUGACGUGGCUAGAAGACAGCUGGACUUAAUGAGUGAAAUCAGCGCCUAUGUGGCUAGAAUUUUAAAAAACUUAAGUCAACUGGGUGAUGUGGCACUUUGAGGGAGCAAGAUUGACUUUGACUUGCUAAUUAGGGUAAACCAAGUACCCUAAAAGGAGGCCAGCCGAAAUAUUGAAGGACACUCUGAAUAUUUGAAGAUUUCUGCAUAUUUUCACUAAGCAAAGUACAGAGAGAAAAGAAAAAGAAGAAAGAAGAAGGAAAUACUAAACAGAGGAGAAGAGGAAGGCAGACGCCUAAGGGGGACUAGAGCUCAACACUCAAUUCUCUCUAAUCUCUCUCUCUCUCUCAUUUUGUAUUAAAUUCUUAUCUAGUUUUCUGAUUAUACUCAAUGGAACUUUUCUGUACUGGAUUUGUGUUUAUAAUUUCAGCUAUGAACUAAUAUCCUAAGGGUUUGGGUGGUUAUGAACCCUAUAUUAUGAAGUAAUGUUUUGAUGCAUGGUUGUGGUAA